rnacentral:lncRNA from 1 species
AGCACAGAUCUGCUGAGUGAAACCAGAUCCCUUCACUCAGUGGAGACUUUCUGGGGCCUUCCAGAGGCCGCCCGCAAGCCAGGCCCCGGGAGCGAGGGACAGCUCGGCUCAGCCCUGCCCUGGAGAAACCCUGGCUCUCGGUGCCUCUGAGGGAGACAAGCAGCAGGCCCUGCAGGAGCUGGAAGUGGAGGUGGCUGGGGCCCAUGAGGCGGCAGGUGGCACCAGUGGAGAUGGCACUCAGGACAGAACCACCUGCCUCAGGAGGGACAGUAGGUUAGGGACUCGGGGGGACAGCAGGAGGAAGGCAGGAGGGCAGAGGCCCCUUGGGCUCCUGUGCUGUUCUAAGGAGGCAGAGCUGUAUUCCAGGAGACAGAAGAGUGUUUCAGAAAGAUCCCUCUGGGCAGCAUGGAGGGUGGUGGGGACAGCUGGAGCCAGGAAGCAGGUGGGAGAGGCCCACACUGAGGAGCCAGGAUGCCAGGGAACAGGCACAGCUCUCAGGCGACCAGUGCCCCAUCCCCCACUAACGGGCUAAGUUUAAUCUCCACGGAUCCUGGCAGGUCCUGGGCUCCAAGGCUUUUGCGAAUGAGGAAACUGAGACACAAAGCAAUUCAGACAACAGAGCCAGGAAGUGUGAUCUGAGGCCAUGUGCUCCCUGGGUCUCCUGUUAACUCCAGGCUGCCCAUGUCCGCCCCAGCGGCCGGCUCAAACCGCUGGGUGGUGCCUAUCACAGGGCAGAUCUGAGACACCUAGUGAAACAUCAGGGGCAGUGUGGCCCAGUGGAAUUCUGCUGUGGUGUUUCUAGAAUGACUGAUAAGUCUGUGCUGUCCAAAAAAGCAGCCGUAAUCACACGGCCAGUGGACCCUUGAAAUACAGCUCUUUCAACCGAGGAACUGAAUUUUAAAUUUUACUCCAUUUUCAUUAACUUCAAUUUGAGCCACCACAUGUGGCUGCCAUGCUGGCCGGGGCGAGUCCAGGGUUGGCAGCCAGUAAGUGCUGUACUUGACGCAUGGAAAUGUCAGGAAGAACCCGGGCUAGAGACAGGUGAAUCGGGGCUUCCACUUAGCGGUUCCGGACACUGCCUAGCCGGUAGCACACACCCCCUCCCCCAUUUCAGGAAAAGUAAGGCUCUGGAGGUUCAGUAAGGUCCCCCUUCAUACGAACAGGGCUCUGCAUGGGAACCCAGUUCUGGAGACUGUGUUCUUGGUGAUCCCCACCUGGCCCCAAGUCCUCGCCAGCCAACAGGACAGAACAUGGGCCUCUGGGUUGGGGGAGCGCAGGCCACAGGUGAAACCACAGAAGUGCAUGAGAACCCCCGGGGGGUGUUAGAGGUAUG